UACGUAGGGUGCAAGCAUUAAUCGGAGUUAUUGGGCGUAAAGGGCGCGUAGGCGGUAAAGCAAGUCAGAUGUGAAAUUCCAAAGCUCAACUUUGGAGCUGCAUAUGAAACUGUUUAACUAAGAGUGAUGGCGGAGGAAGCGGAAUUCCACGUGUAGCGGUGAAAUGCGUAGAUAUGUGGAAGAACACCGGUGGCGAAAGCGGCUUUCUAGCUAUUAACUGACGCUGAGGCGCGAGAGCAAGGGGAGCAAACAGG
rnacentral:rRNA from 1 species